rnacentral:lncRNA from 1 species
AUGACGCUACAUUUUUCUCAAAUAUAUAGUAAGAUUUCUUCUUUCUUUCAUAACACAUACCCCUUCUACAGCUCUGUCAGUAUUCCUCGCCUAUUACAACUCAUCUCAGCAGCUCCUUCAGGCCACCACAGCUGUUACACCUUGCUGAACUACACAUUGCAGAGCACAGUCCUGACACAACAGGCUGUGAAAGGGAAAACAGAGAUGAAGAGCCACAUUUUCCUUCAUGCACGCAGAUCCCCCCUUGGCAUGUUUGUGACUUUUCACAAACAUUGCAGUCUAGAAGUCUGGUGCCAGCUAACUGCCUUGUGUCAUUUUUUUCAAUGACAAGAAUGUGCGCACAUGUGUUUCCUGCUUGAGGUGAGGUUCAUAUUUACAGGAUAUGGAAAGUUAGCAUGACAUAAGUAAUGACUGUGUAGAAGGAAAUCCACUUUCGUUAACAGCCAUCCUAUUUAUUCUACUUAUUCUGCUGUCACCUUGCAUGAUACCCUCCAUAUCAUUUCAGACAGACACCAAAGUAAUUUUGGUGAAAGCUUCCUGCAAAGAAGAUGGAAAUUUUGACUAAAACAAAUACUUAAAAAAAAAAAAAAAAAAAGCAACCACAAGAGCAAAAGAGAUAUGUGCUGAGUUUAUCCUAGAAAGAAAUAUAUAUCACUUCAAUCCUUUCCACAUCUAUCCCCAUUCAGUUCCUACUGCAUCCGUUGGUCACAUACAAAGUUGACCCAGGCAGAUGAUACUGAAUUAUUUGUUUAAAUUAAGAAAAAAAGUUGCAACAACGCUUCUUUUUUUUUGUUGUUUUACUCACUGCAUUUUACUCUCUGAGAGACCGGUCUGCUUUCAAAAACUGCUUUCCAAAAUCUUUUAAUUGUGGCUGAAGCUUAAUUCUUCUGGCAGUGGCUGAGGAAGGACUCCCAGUCAGCAGAAAAACAUCCAGAGAGGCAGACUGAGAUUGGACAGUGAUCUACAGCAGUCAUCUACAGGAUUACUGUGGGAUGAAGAAAGAAAGAAGUAAGUUUUUAUUUACAAAUCCCCCCAAAAAGGUCCCAGAGAGCCAGUCGCCAUGUUAGAAAUGCCACAUUCAAGCCAGUGGCUGGAUUCUCAAUGACAGGGGAACCACAGGGCUGGCUGAUACUCUGAGUGAGGACCACAAGAACAGCUCAGUUAAAGGAAAUUGUUUUCUAUGCAUUUAACACAACCAAAAGCCCUCUGCUCUUAAAAGCUGAGUCCCACAUGAUCUCAACACAAAGCGCUGAAAUAAGAAUAAAAAUGAUAAAUUCUCAUUAACUGGUGCA